AAUGAUUGCGUUUAAUCUUUUGGCAGCACUCAUGGAAAACAAAAGGUUACAUUCGAGAUGGUGAUGGACGUGAUUGUCAAUAUCCAACAGCAAUAUAACUUAGCUAGUCAUUAUGUAUGAAGACAAAAACAAGUUCCCACUCGAGGACAGGACUGCCCCAUCUUAUAUACAGGUAAAAGCAUCACCCAUUUCGCAUUCCUGAUUCAUAUGUUUGAUUAAAUGAACAUUAGGUUGAAUUCACAGAUGUAUUUCAGAUCACAGUUUCAUUGGUUUAUCUUUUAGUUUAUACAACCGUAUUUAUUAUUUGUUCAUCUUGGAUGCCUGAUAACAAUUUAUUAUUGCGGCAAAGCCUCAAUGGGAAAUAUCUGUGUAGUCCAAGGACUUCUGAGGGAAAUAGAACAAGCCAUAUUCAAAAGUUUAUGUUUGAGACAGACACAUUAUUUUUCUGAUUAGGUCAUGAGAAUGAAUAUGGUAGUAUAUAUAGACCAGUUAACCAAAAUCAGUAAAUUAAAAAAGUUAACAGUGUAUUAACAAUAUUCAUGACUUAACUGAUAAUGCCUCGGUGCUCCUAAUGUGAAUAUUAACAAGCUACGCAACUUACCCCUUUGAGCAACCAAUUUGAAUCCAGAAAUUCACAAUUGCAUCAGAUGUGAAAAGGAGAAGAUUUUGCAUCGAAAUAGCAUUCAACUACAGAGAAAUACAAUAUCAUUUGUAUGGCCAGUCUUGGUUUGAUUCCCUUCUUGAGAGACAAUAAAGAUUAACAUUGACAGAAAUCACACACAGAUUCCAAUCUCAAGGAAGCUGAGAUCUUCCAGUUCCCCCAUAUCCCAACAUCCUGAUAAUCUAUUUUCCAUGAAAACAUACUGCAGCUCAACUUGAUCCCCUCAGUUAUUCCAUUCCAAAUCAAAUCUUAUCAACAAUUUGGAUGGUUUAUCA
rnacentral:lncRNA from 1 species